UACGUAGGUCCCGAGCGUUGUCCGGAUUUAUUGGGCGUAAAGCGAGCGCAGGCGGUUUAAUAAGUCUGAAGUUAAAGGCAGUGGCUUAACCAUUGUUCGCUUUGGAAACUGUUAAACUUGAGUGCAGAAGGGGAGAGUGGAAUUCCAUGUGUAGCGGUGAAAUGCGUAGAUAUAUGGAGGAACACCGGUGGCGAAAGCGGCUCUCUGGUCUGUAACUGACGCUGAGGCUCGAAAGCGUGGGGAGCAAACGGG
rnacentral:rRNA from 1 species